rnacentral:rRNA from 1 species
UACGUAGGUGGCAAGCGUUAUCCGGAAUUACUGGGCGUAAAGCGCACGCAGGCGGCCUGUUAAGUUUGACGUGAAAACUCCUAGCUUAACUGGGAGAGGACGUUGAAGACUGGCAGGCUUGAGGUAAUGAGAGGGGUGCGGAAUUCCCGGUGUAGUGGUGGAAUGCGUAGAGAUCGGGAGGAACACCAGUGGCGAAAGCGGCACCCUGGCAUUGACCUGACGCUCAGGUGCGAAAGCGUGGGGAGCGAACGGGAUUAGAAACCCCCGUAGUCC